rnacentral:lncRNA from 1 species
CAGAGAGUAAAGAACGUACAGAGCAGAGUGAGCUGCAGUCAUGGCUGAAGGCAGGCCCAGUGGGUGGCAGCCUGCUCAGGACCUCAUACCUAUGGAGGAGAAUACUUUGCCCGCACUGAAGGAAUCUGGACAGCAGGAACAAAAUCCUCCCCAGUUUGAUCCCUGGAAGUUUCUGUGUCUGGCGAUGACCACGCUGAUGUUUCUCUUGGUCGUGAUCGUUGGUGUGGUCCUGGGAAACGGUGAGGAGAUGAGGCCAGUGGGAAGGGUGAUCAGAGGGACCGGGUUCUCCAGCGUCACUG